UACGGGGGGGGCGAGCGUUAUUCGGAAUUAUUGGGCGUAAAGGGCGCGUAGGCGGCCCCUUAAGUCAAAGGUGAAAUCCCUCGGCUCAACUGAGGAACUGCCUUUGAAACUGAUGGGCUUGAGGCCGGGAGGGGGUAGCGGAAUUCCCAGUGUAGCGGUGAAAUGCGUAGAUAUUGGGAGGAACACCAGUGGCGAAGGCGGCUACCUGGACCGGUUCUGACGCUGAUGCGCGAAAGCGUGGGUAGCAAACAGG
rnacentral:rRNA from 1 species